UACGUAGGGUACGAGCGUUGUCCGGAAUUAUUGGGCGUAAAGAGCUCGUAGGCGGUCUGUCGCGUCUGCUGUGAAAACCCGAGGCUCAACCUCGGGCCUGCAGUGGGUACGGGCAGACUAGAGUGGGGGAGAAUGGAAUUCCUGGUGUAGCGGUGGAAUGCGCAGAUAUCAGGAGGAACACCGAUGGCGAAGGCAGUUCUCUGGGCCGUAACUGACGCUGAGGAGCGAAAGCGUGGGGAGCGAACAGG
rnacentral:rRNA from 1 species